GUUUCCAUCCCCGUGAGGGGUAAUGAAUUGAAAAC
rfam:Nostoc sp. PCC 7107, complete genome.